rnacentral:rRNA from 1 species
AGAUUGAACGCUGGCGGCAUGCCUUACACAUGCAAGUCGAACGGCAGCACGGGAGCAAUCCUGGUGGCGAGUGGCGAACGGGUGAGUAAUACAUCGGAACGUGCCCAAUCGUGGGGGAUAACGCAGCGAAAGCUGUGCUAAUACCGCAUAAGAUCUACGGAUGAAAGCAGGGGAUCGCAAGACCUUGCGCGAAUGGAGCGGUCCGAUGGCAGAUUAGGUAGUUGGUGAGGUAAAGGCGUCACCAAGCCUUCGGAUCUGUAGCUGGUCCUGAGAGGACGACCAGCCUACACUGGGACGUGAGACGACGGCCCAGACCUCCGUAGGGACGGCAGCAAGGUUCGGGGGUAAUUUUGGAACAAGUGGGACGGAAGCCGU